ACGACAAUAUCAUGUUGAAAAACCGGUUAUUGUACGAUCACCGAAGUUAAGCAACGUCGAGCAUUGUCAGUACUUAGAUGGGUGACCGCUUCGGAAUACCAGGUUUUGUAAG